AUUGAACGCUGGCGGCAGGCCUAACACAUGCAAGUCGAACGGUAACAGGAAGAAGCUUGCUUCUUUGCUGACGAGUGGCGGACGGGUGAGUAAUGUCUGGGAAACUGCCUGAUGGAGGGGGAUAACUACUGGAAACGGUAGCUAAUACCGCAUAACGUCGCAAGACCAAAGAGGGGGACCUUCGGGCCUCUUGCCAUCGGAUGUGCCCAGAUGGGAUUAGCUAGUAGGUGGGGUAACGGCUCACCUAGGCGACGAUCCCUAGCUGGUCUGAGAGGAUGACCAGCCACACUGGAACUGAGACACGGUCCAGACUCCUACGGGAGGCAGCAGUGGGGAAUACUGCACAAUGGGCGCAAGCCUGAUGCAGCCAUGCCGCGUGUAUGAAGAAGGCCUUCGGGUUGUAAAGUACUUUCAGCGGGGAGGAAGGGAGUAAAGUUAAUACCUUUACUCAUUGACGUUACCCGCAGAAGAAGCACCGGCUAACUCCGUG
rnacentral:rRNA from 1 species